AGGCUGCUGCACCGCUCGUGACUGUCAGUCCUCCUUGUAGCUCAUUGGUUAAGCUGUGGCUCGAGCCUGUUAACAGUUAACGGACAGGAAACGGCUCUGACAGGACACAUUCAUGUCGAGGCAGUGAUGUGAAUGUGUGGCUACUGUUUGGCCUUAGCUCACGCCAAAUAAAUGAAAGAUACCCCACAAGCCAAUCGGGACCUUCUCUUGUGAAGCCCAGACGGAAGAGAGAGAACAAAGGCUGAACCUUAACUUCCAAUGCCCCGCCCCCUCCACGCCACUCCGCCAACCACCAGGAUGCCCGGCAUCAGAACAUCCCAGGCAUUCCUGUGAUUGGCAGAUAGCAGGUUGAUUGGCAUGUCGGACCCCGCGAACACUGGGAACUGGUAAG